rnacentral:rRNA from 1 species
AACGAACGCUGGCGGCAUGCCUAACACAUGCAAGUCGAACGAGACCUUCGGGUUUAGCGGGGGACGGGCGCGUAACGGGUUGGCAAAUGCCUUUAGGUUCGGAAUAUCUUCCCGCAAGGGGUUCUAAUACCGGCUAGGGUCUUGGGACUAAUGAUUUAUCGCAUUUGGGUGGGCCCGCGUUGGUGUCGCUUGUUGGUAGGGUAAAAGCGUGCCAAUGCGAGGCUUCAUAGCUGGUCGGUGGGGAUGAUCCACCACACUGGGACUGAGACACGGCCCAGACUCCUACUGGAAGAAGCAGUGGGGAAUAUUGGAGCAGGGGCGAAAGCCUGGUCCAGCAAUGCCGCGGGUGUGAUGAAGGCCUUGGGGUUGUAAAGCUCUUUUACCCGGGAUGAUAAUGACAGUACCGGGAGAAUAAGCUCCGGCUAACUCCGUG